rnacentral:rRNA from 1 species
GACGUAGGGCGCGAGCGUUGUCCGGAUUUAUUGGGCGUAAAGAGCUCGUAGGCGGCUUGUCGCGUCGUCCGUGAAAACCCACGGCUCAACUGUGGGCUUGCGGUCGAUACGGGCAGGCUAGAGUUCGGUAGGGGAGACUGGAAUUCCUGGUGUAGCGGUGAAAUGCGCAGAUAUCAGGAGGAACACCGGUGGCGAAGGCGGGUCUCUGGGCCGAUACUGACGCUGAGGAGCGAAAGCGUGGGGAGCGAACAGG